GUGAGAAUCAAAAAGAAUUCCCUUUAAACCAUCAUGGAAAUGUAUAGUUGGAACCAUCAAGUACCAUCACGAUCCAUGAGAAUACAAACUUCUCCUGAUAGUUAAUCAUAUAGUAUCGAAGUAGCAUUUUUUAUCAUGGUAAAGGCCUGGUUUCUUAGGACAGAACGCCGUCAGCUGGAAAUCAGCGCUAACCUCUGAUUGGUCCAUUUGUGAGUUUGAUAGUAUGCGUCAUCGGGUUCAAGAUGAGCUUUCGAUGACGUACACUAUCAAACUCACAAAUGGACCAAUCAGAGGUUAGCGCUGAUUUCCAGCUGACGGCGUCCUGUCCUAAGAAACCAGGCCUUAAGAUGGAAGUUUGCUUUCAUAUCAAAAACCACGAAUGCAUAAUGGAAAAUGUGGGAUGAUGGUGACUAUCAAAUCAUGUUGGACCAUCAUGAAUCGCCCUGAAACUCACAUAAGCCAUCAAAAUGAUUUGAGGAGACCAUCAAGAACUUUGACUUGGGUUAAAGUAAAAUUCUGUUUACAGCAAAACCGUCGUUGAACAGCCGACCUAAUUUUUUGUGUUUACGACUACUUAAUCUUCAACUCCGUGGUCUUGUAGUUUUAGAACCACUCCAGAAAACAAGGGAAUUCCUGGAUCAAGUAUUGGAAGAAAUUUACCUACGUAGAAGACUUUUUGAUAGAACUAACCCGCAUUUGCUUUGCAUGGAGAAGAAAAACCACAAUAACCUUCCACGGUUAGAUUGACGGCAAGGGGACUCGAGCCCAUGAUCCGUCUACCACUGAGAAUAUUUUUGGUCUGUGCGAGCUGGAUGCGAAAUUCAUAUCGACCAGUCAACGCUGUGAUUCGAACCCGGUUCCCCUUAGUGGAAGGCAAACGCACUAUCCCCUGAGCCAUCACGGCUCCUUACAAUUGUAAUUAAAAAAUAGUUAACUAACUAACGGAGGCUUGUUCAGAAAAGACAAGGCAAAGAGUAGGACUAGGGCAAAAUUAGGACAUUUUGUGACUAGCCUGGGGCUUAUGAUAGCAUUUUUUUUGGCUCCUUUUAAAAACUCUUUCAAAAACGGGAAACGAUUGAAAACACUGCUUAAAUAAAUUAUAUCAUUUCUUUUGGAUAAUUUCUAAGGCAGGUUUUAUUUGUAAAAUAAAUGAAAAGUUUAAGCGUGAAAAAA